CCAUCGAGUCUUUGAACGCAAGUUGCGCCCGAAGCCAUUAGGCCGAGGGCACGUCUGCCUGGGCGUCACGC
rnacentral:rRNA from 1 species